rnacentral:rRNA from 1 species
UACGUAGGGCGCAAGCGUUGUCCGGAAUUAUUGGGCGUAAAGAGCUCGUAGGCGGCCUGUUGCGUCCGCUGUGAAAUCCCGGGGCUUAACCCCGGGCGUGCAGUGGAUACGGGCAGGCUGGAGGCAGGCAGGGGAGAACGGAAUUCCCGGUGUAGCGAUGAAAUGCGCAGAUAUCGGGAGGAACACCGGUGGCGAAGGCGGUUCUCUGGGCCUGUACUGACGCUGAGGAGCGAAAGCGUGGGGAGCGAACAGG